UACGAAGGGUGCAAGCGUUACUCGGAAUGACUGGGCGUAAAGCGUGCGUAGGUGGUUCGUUAAGUCUGUCGUGAAAGCCCCGGGCUCAACCUGGGAAUGGCGAUGGAUACUGGCGGGCUAGAGUGCGGUAGAGGAGAGUGGAAUUCCUGGUGUAGCGGUGAAAUGCGCAGAUAUCAGGAAGAACACCUAUGGCGAAGGCAGCUCUCUGGGACGGUACUGACGCUGAGACGCGAAAGCGUGGGGAGCGAACAGG
rnacentral:rRNA from 1 species